rnacentral:rRNA from 1 species
UGGGGAAUAUUGCACAAUGGGCGCAAGCCUGAUGCAGCCAUGCCGCGUGUGUGAAGAAGGCCUUCGGGUUGUAAAGCACUUUCAGCGAGGAGGAAGGUGGUGAGCUUAAUACGCUCAUCAAUUGACGUUACUCGCAGAAGAAGCACCGGCUAACUCCGUGCCAGCAGCCGCGGUAAUACGGAGGGUGCAAGCGUUAAUCGGAAUUACUGGGCGUAAAGCGCACGCAGGCGGUUUGUUAAGUCAGAUGUGAAAUCCCCGGGCUCAACCUGGGAACUGCAUUUGAAACUGGCAAGCUAGAGUCUCGUAGAGGGGGGUAGAAUUCCAGGUGUAGCGGUGAAAUGCGUAGAGAUCUGGAGGAAUACCGGUGGCGAAGGCGGCCCCCUGGACGAAGACUGACGCUCAGGUGCGAAAGCGUGGGGAGCAAAACAGGAUUAGAUACCCUGGUAGUCCACGCUGUAAACGAUGUCGAUUUGGAGGUUGUGCCCUUGAGGCGUGGCUUCCGGAGCUAACGCGUUAAAUCGACCGCCUGGGGAGUACGGCCGCAAGGUUAAAAACUC